AUACGGAGGGCGCAAGCGUUAUCCGGAAUCAUUGGGUUUAAAGGGUCCGCAGGCGGAUUAAUAAGUCAGUGGUGAAAUCCUCUCGCUCAACGAGAGAACUGCCAUUGAAACUGUUAGUCUUGAAUUCGGUCGAAGUAGGCGGAAUGUGUCAUGUAGCGGUGAAAUGCAUAGAUAUGACACAGAACACCGAUAGCGAAGGCAGCUUACUAGACCUGGAUUGACGCUCAUGGACGAAAGCGUGGGGAGCGAACAGGAUUAGAAACCCCAGUAGUCC
rnacentral:rRNA from 1 species